rnacentral:rRNA from 1 species
CCCUUAGAUGUUCUGGGCUGCACACGUGCUACACUGGCAGGUUCAGCGAGCUUCAUGCCCUGAUCUGAAAGGAAUGGGAAAUCUUUUCAAAACCUGCCGUGCUUGGGAUAGAUGUUUGCAAUUAUUCAUCUUCAACGAGGAUUGCCUUGUAAGCGCACGUCAUCAGCGUGCAUUGAAUACGACCCUGUAUUCUGUACACACCGCCCGUCGCUCCUACCGAUUUAAGUUUUCGGUGAGUUGACAGGAGGAUUUUUUUGAAACUGGUUCGCCAGUGGAUUUUAGAUCCAAAUGCCAACGAAUCGAUGGCUUUAGAGGAAGGAGAAGUCGUAACA